rnacentral:lncRNA from 1 species
AUGGUAUUCAUGAGAAGGAAGGGGCAUCAGGAGGACACUUGGGUGAGGAGCUACAGGAGUAACACCAAGAAAAUGUUUAGAAGGUCUCACUAUGUUGCCCAGGUUGGUCUCAAACUCGUGCCCUCAAGUGAUCUGCCAGCCUCUGCCUCCCGAACUGCUGGGAUUACAGGCACGUGCCACCACGCCUGGCUAAUUUUUGUAUUUUUAGCAGAGACAGGGUUUCAUCAUGUUGGGUAGGCUGGUCUCGAACUCCUAACCUCAAAUGAUCUGCCCACCUCAGCCUCCCAAAGUGUUGGGAUUAUAGGCAUUAGCCACCAUGCCCGGCCUAUUUUAUUUAUUUAUUUUUACCAAGACUGAGUCUCACUCUGUUACCCAGGCUGGAGUGCAGUGGCGCGAUCUCGGCUCACUGCAACCUCUGCCUCCUGGGUUCAAGCAAUUCUCCUGCCUCAGCCUCCUGAGUAGCUGGGACUACAGGUGCACGCUACCAUGCCUGGCAAAUUUUUUUUGUAUUUUUAGUAGAGCCAGGGUUUCGCCAUGUUGGCCAGGCUAGUCUCGAGCUCCUGACCUCAGUGAUCCACCCGCCUCGGCCUCUCAAAGUGCUGGGAUUACAGGUGUGAGCCACUUCGCCUGGCCUGAUUUAUACUUUUAAAAGAUCAUUCCAGCUACUGUGUGGAGAAUGGAUUAGAGGGCAGCCAGGGUUGAAAGAGGGGAGCCCAGAAGGGAAGUCACUGAAGCAUCCAGAUGAGGGAGGUGGCUCGGACUAGAGCGUGGUCGUGGAGAUGAAACACAGUGGCCACGUCUAGCCGCAGUGACCACUUCCCCUCCCCUCGGCAGCAUUUGGCCCCUUGUCUAUCCUGUCCCCAAGCCCUAAUCACAGGAGGAAUAGAUGUGUUUGUGUCAAUGUCCACAUCCCCAGAAGCCCAGGUUUGACUCAAGUCAGCUGAGGUCUGGACAUGGCCAUGCUGAGGCUCCAAGAGCUGAAUCAAUGAACCAGUGAAGGCGCCUCCACUCUGCAGCCUCAUGUCUGAAAGCACGAGGAUA